rnacentral:tRNA from 1 species
GGAGUAGUACUCAAGAGGCUGAAGAGGCGCCCCUGCUAAGGGUGUAGAUCGAUGAAAGUCGAUGCGAGGGUUCAAAUCCCUCCUACUCCGCCA